rnacentral:rRNA from 1 species
UACGUAGGGAGCAAGCGUUGUCCGGAAUCAUUGGGCGUAAAGCGCGCGUAGGUGGCCCGGUAAGUCCGCUCUGAAAGUCACAGGCUUAACCUGUGAAAGCGGGUGGAUACUGCCGGGCUAGAGUCCGGAAGAGGCGAGUGGAAUUCCUGGUGUAGCGGUGGAAUGCGCAGAUAUCAGGAGGAACACCGAUGGCGAAGGCAGCUCGCUGGGACGGUACUGACGCUGAGGCGCGAAAGCGUGGGGAGCGAACAGGAUUAGAUACCCGAGUAGU